rnacentral:tRNA from 1 species
GGCCCCGUAGCUCAGCUGACAGAGCGUGCGCGUACAAAGCGUAGGUAGCGACAUGCGUGGGUUCGAAUCCCACCGAGACUG